rnacentral:rRNA from 1 species
AAGACCUUGCACUUUUGGAGCGGCCGAUGUCUGAUUAGCUAGUUGGUGGGGUAAUGGCCUACCAAAGCUUCGAUCAGUAGCUGGUCUGAGAGGACGGCCAGCCACACUGGGACUGAGACACGGCCCAGACUCCUACGGGAGGCAGCAGUGGGGAAUUUUGGACAAUGGGCGCAAGCCUGAUCCAGCCAUGCCGCGUGAGUGAAGAAGGCCUUCGGGUUGUAAAGCUCUUUCAGCCGGGAAGAAAAGGUCGCGAUUAAUAAUCGCAAUUUAUGACGGUACCGGAAGAAGAAGCACCGGCUAACUACGUGCCAGCAGCCGCGGUAAUACGUAGGGUGCGAGCGUUAAUCGGAAUUACUGGGCGUAAAGCGUGCGCAGGUGGUUUUGUAAGUCAGAUGUGAAAGCCCCGGGCUCAACCUGGGAACU